UCUCUGAUAGUAUAUCGGUUAGUACACGCGCCUGUCAUUUGUUGUCAUCCGCGCGAAAGCUGGGUUCGACUCCCAGUCAGAGAG